CAACAGGGAUUGCUUCUAGUAACGGCCAGUGAAGCAGCAAUAGCUCAAAUUUGAAAUCUGGCGUCUUCGACGUCCGAGUUGUAAUUUGUAGAGGAUGCUUCUGAGUAACCACCGACCUAAGUUCCUUGGAACAGGACGUCAUAGAGGGUGAGAAUCCCGUAUGCGGUCGGAAAGGUGCUCUAUACGUAGCUCCUUCGACGAGUCGAGUUGUUUGGGAAUGCAGCUCUAAAUGGGAGGUAAAUUUCUUCUAAAGCUAAAUAUUGGCCAGAGACCGAUAGCGCACAAGUAGAGUGAUCGAAAGAUGAAAAGCACUUUGGAAAGAGAGUUAAAAAGCACGUGAAAUUGUUAAAAGGGAAGGGAUUGCAACCAGACUUGCUCGCGGUGUUCCGCCGGUCUUCUGACCGGUCUACUCGCCGCGUUGCAGCCAGCAUCGUCUGUGCCGCUGGAUAAGACUUGAGGAAUG
rnacentral:rRNA from 1 species